UUUACCAGAGGUGUAUCCUUGUACAUCCUGCUUUCACUCCAAGUCAGCAAACAGUGUCUUGCUAAGUGUUAAGUAGUUUAAUAACCUAAUUUGCAUCAUUUGCACUUCAAACUAGUUUGAACACUUGUUGACUGUUGAUUUUUAUAUUUAGAAACUUUGCACUGAACACUGUAGUCAUGAAAUAUCUCAGAAUCAAAAAGUGAUCAAGUAUGACUAAUGUUUGAAGUAAUUACCACAAACUGAUUCAAUUACUAAUGUCCUAACGGGUUAAUUCACUCAAGAAUAAAAUAAUUUACUCACCCUCGUGUUGUUUUAAACACGUUUGACUUUUGUUCUUCUGUGAAACACAGAAUGAGUUUUUAGGCAGAAUGUCAUAAUUCACUUUCAUUGCAUCUUUUUCCCCAUAUAAUGAAAGUGAAUGGUGACUGAGGCUGUCAUUCUGCCUAAAAUCUUUAAAAAAAAAAGUCAUACAUGCUUUAAAAAAACAUUAGGGUGUGUGAGUAUAUGAUGACAGAAUUUAAAUAACUUCAGGUGAAUUCUGUUUUUGUGCUUUAUUUUUACUGUGGUCUUGUUAUUUUUCUUAAGUCAUAAGCUUAGCCAAAAUAAACCAGAUUACAGGUCAAGACGCUCGACUGCCAUGUGUCAAGUGUCGUUUUAUGGUCUCAUGAUAUUCUGAUAAGGGAGUUAAAAUUGUUAUACACUAGGAUGAAAGUUUCUGUACAUUUGGCAGUGUCAAUGUUUGGUGUAUUUACAAUCUUGUUUACAUUUCUGAAACUAAGUGCUGCAUAUGGUCUUUUUUGAGUCAUCCUAAAAACACACAUACUGUCUUCCACCCUUGUUUGUAAUGUAAUCAUUCAGCAACAGAAAGUCAAACAGACAUUCACGGAGGAAAUAAAUUCACUGUCUCGUCUUCUCUGUCUCCUUGGAUGGAGUGGGUUACAGUCACUUACAACAUCAUCAGGCGUAUUGUGGACCUUCAUUUAUUUUUCCUAGUGAAUAAAUUUGACUUUGGCAACCAUUUUUUUAACUGGAUUUUUACAGGACUUUUUAAACAAAUUGAAUGAAGCAUUCUUUCCUGAAUUCCUUCAGAAAGAAUGGAGCGAGAUAAAGACAGCUCUGGACCACCAGGUAAAAAGGUGUUUGGAAUAAAAGUGAAGAAGAAACAAAGAAAAGGCAACAAGGGUCUUGUAAUCUCUAACAAAGGUGCUCUAGAGGCUGAGCUUGAAACAAAUCCCGAUGACCCUGAUGUGUUCGAUGUACCACACCC